UACGGAGGGGGCCAGCGUUGCUCGGAAUUAUUGGGCGUAAAGGGCGCGUAGGCGGCUUGGUAAGUUUGAUGUGAAAUCCCAUGGCUCAACCAUGGAACUGCAUCUCAUACUGCCGAGCUAGAGUCUGGGAGAGGGAAGCGGAAUUCCCGGUGUAGCGGUGAAAUGCGUAGAUAUCGUGAGGAACACCAGAGGCGAAGGCGGCUACCUGGACAAUUGCUGACGCUCAGGCACGAAAGCGUGGGGAGCAAAAGGG
rnacentral:rRNA from 1 species